rnacentral:rRNA from 1 species
UACGUAGGGUGCAAGCGUUGUCCGGAAUUAUUGGGCGUAAAGAGCUCGUAGGCGGUUUGUUGCGUCGGCUGUGAAAUCCCUCGGCCUAACCGAGGAAUUGCGCCCGAAACUACCUUGCUUGAGGAUGGAAGGGGAGCGUGGAAUUCCUGGUGGAGCGGUGAAAUGCGUUGAUAUCAGGAGGAACACCGGCGGCGAAGGCGACGCUCUGGUCCAUUACUGACGCUGAGGUGCGAAAGCCAGGGGAGCAAACGGG